rnacentral:rRNA from 1 species
UACGAAGGGGGCUAGCGUUGCUCGGAAUCACUGGGCGUAAAGGGUGCGUAGGCGGGCCUUUAAGUCCGGGGUGAAAUCCUGGAGCUCAACUCCAGAACUGCCUUUGAUACUGAGGAUCUUGAGUUCGGGAGAGGUGAGUGGAACUGCGAGUGUAGAGGUGAAAUUCGUAGAUAUUCGCAAGAACACCAGUGGCGAAGGCGGCUCACUGGCCCGAUACUGACGCUGAGGCACGAAAGCGUGGGGAGCAAACAGG